CACAAGCGCGGAGCAUGUGGAUUAAUUCGAUGCAACGCGAAGAACCUUACCUGGGUUUGACAUACACCGGAAAACCGUAGAGAUACGGUCCCCCUUGUGGUCGGUGUACAGGUGGUGCAUGGCUGUCGUCAGCUCGUGUCGUGAGAUGUUGGGUUAAGUCCCGCAACGAGCGCAACCCUUGUCUUAUGUUGCCAGCACGUGAUGGUGGGGACUCGGUAAGAGACUGCCGGGGUCAACUCGGAGGAAGGUGGGGACGACGGUCAAGUCAUCAUGCCCCUUAUGUCCAGGGCUUCACACAUGCUACAAUGGCCAGUACAGAGGGCUGCGAGACCGUGAGGUGGAGCGAAUCCCUUAAAGCUGGUCUCAGUUCGGAUCGGGGUCUGCAACUCGACCCCGUGAAGUCGGAGUCGCUAGUAAUCGCAGAUCAGCAACGCUGCGGUGAAUACGUUCCCGGGCCUU
rnacentral:rRNA from 1 species